rnacentral:rRNA from 1 species
GACGAACGCUGGCGGCGUGCUUAACACAUGCAAGUCGAACGGACAGGCCCUGAUUUUGUGGGGUUCUCGAGUGGCGAACGGGUGAGUAACACGUGUGUAACCUGCCCUUGACUUUGGGAUAACUUCAGGAAACUGGGGCUAAUACCGGAUAGGAUCUCCUGCUGCAUGGUGGGGGUUGGUAAGUUUCGGCGGUUGGGGAUGGACUGGCGGCUUAUCAGCUUGUUGGUGGGGUAGUUGCUUACCAAGGCUUUGACGGGUAGCCGGCCUGAGAGGGUGAACGGCCACAUGGGGACUGAGGUAGGGACCAGACGCCUACGGGAGGCAGCGGUGGGGAAUAUUGCACAAUGGGCGGAAGCCUGAUGCAGCAACGCCGGGUGCGGGAUGACGGCCUUCGGGUUGUGAACCGCUGUCGCCUGUGACGAAGCGUGAGUGACGGUAAUGGGUAAAGAAGCACCGGCUAACUACGUG